rnacentral:rRNA from 1 species
CAACCAGACUCCUACGGGAGGCAGCGGUGGGGAAUAUUGCACAAUGGGGGAAACCCUGAUGCAGCGACGCCGCGUGAAGGAAGAAGUAUUUCGGUAUGUAAACUUCUAUCAGCAGGGAAGAAAAUGACGGUACCUGACUAAGAAGCCCCGGCUAACUACGUGCCAGCAGCCGCGGUAAUACGUAGGGGGCAAGCGUUAUCCGGAUUUACUGGGUGUAAAGGGGGCGCAGACGGCAGCGCAAGCCAGGAGUGAAAGCCCGGGGCCCAACCCCGGGACUGCUCUGGAAACUGCGGCGCUGGAGUACGGGAGGGGCAGGCGGAAUUCCUGGUGUAGCGGUGAAAUGCGUAGAUAUCAGGAGGAACACCGGCGGCGAAGGCGGCCUGCUGGACCGUGACUGACGUUGAGGCUCGAGAGCGUGGGGAGCAAACAGGAUUAGAUACCCCCGUAC